GAGAGAGAGAGAGAGAGAGAGAAUGCGCACUUAGAUUUUCUUUUUCUCUUUUUUAACAUUGCUGAAAACACAAUAGAGGCAAAGAGGAAAUGUGGAAAUUUGUGCUACAGGAAGUGGGCUAAUAUGCACACGUUCGGGGUCAGAUCACACCGUAGCCUACAAAGAGAUGUAUUCAGUGUGGAAUUCUGUCCUUUCCUGGGUCAUAGAGGAACCAACAACAACAACAACAAGCCAGGAGGGAUCGUGUGUCACAAUUAACUGCAAAUAUAAAUAUCAGGAUGGACUGCAACUGUUGUGGAUUAAAGAUCCUAAGUGGAUUGAAAAAGAAAAGAGAUUUGAUGGAAUUAUUGCAUAUAGUAGUACAGAUGAGCGGCCAGAGGUCGAUGAGUACUCUAACAGAGUGGAAGUUUUUAAUGACCAUAAGCAGAGCAGUCAUUGGACCAAUUGCACAGUAAAAAUUCAUGAUCUUAAAAAGAACGACAGUGGAAACUAUACAUUUAGGUACAUAGGAUCAGAGAAAUAUAUAAGUAAUACAUUUCUUCUCACAGUCAUGGACAAUCCCUGCAAGGUCCACAUUAAGCCAGCAAAUCUGAACAAGUCACUCAAAGAAGGAGAAAAAGUGAGUCUUCAAUGUGCAACAUCAGCAGCCUGUGAGUUUCAUCCUUUAUGGCAAUCGUCUGGCUCAAGUGAGAUUCUCGAAAGUGAGCAUAGUAAAGAUGAGGUGGAAAAACGCAGUGAGCUGCAGUUGAUCGUGAGCUGGACAGAUGAUGGGAGAACUUUGACAUGUCGUCCUUCUAGAAGUAAUGACAACUGCCUGGAGAGGAGGGUUACACUGAGAGUGGAAUGUACAGAUGGACAAAAUACUGUAUAUAUAUUAUGUAUUUAUUGAUUAUGUUUCGAGAAUUUAUAUAAUAAUAAUCUUUAAUUAUAUAGCAUUUUUCCUGUUGAGUUCAAAAUAGCAACAUUUGUCACCUACAAUAGAUUAGAAUGUAAAAAAUUUGAUUGUAUUUGAGGAAUUAAACAUGACAGGGUUGUGGGAUGCCACCCAGAAGCUGAUUAUUUUCCAAUAACAGCACGUACAAAAAUGUUUAUUUCCUCUUAUAACACAGCAAUUUGUCAAUGCUAACAUGUUUCUGUUAAUUAAAGAAUGACAAUAUAUAUUUUUAUUUGUUCAUAGCUAUGUUUCCUGUUUUGGAAUGUUCACGAAACAAGUUAAUUCACAGUUUAUAUGGUAUAUAACACGUUAUAUUGGCCGGUCGUUGUCUCAAUAGAAUCUUGUUUUUCUCUCUCUGAAGCUUGCCAUAUCAUGUGACAGAGAAACCUCAAAGAACCUCUGCACUGAAUCGGAAAAAUGAUAGCUUUAUCUCUUUUACAUUUGUUGACUGUUACAAAGGGCCAAAACCAUCACCAUAUCAACAAUUACAAACAGUUUUAAAAUCAGUUUAUGUGCCACAAACUGUUACUAUAGAAAUGAUCAUGCAUUAAAAUGAGGGCAUUAAUAUAAACCUGUGCUUUGCCAUGCAGCCGAAAUUACUGCUUUUUUAAAAAAAAUGUCCUUUUGAUCAAUCAGAAUUGAGAAAUCAUCAUUUACAUAUAUGGCAAUAAUCCACUAUUAACCCGAUUAAGACAAUACUCUAAUUAAGAAACUACCAUGUAAACAGCAAUUUUUAAUUACCUUAAUCUAAUUAAGGUCAUACUCAAAGUAAGCACUAAUCGAAUUAAGACAGGUGGAGCACUCCUGUUUUAGUCGCUUUAUGGAUGUGUAUUACAGACAUGUAAACACCUUAAUCACAUUAUGAACAUCGUGUGAGAGUU